rnacentral:rRNA from 1 species
CGUACGACGUAGUUUGACUCCUGGCUACAGAACGAACGCUGGCGGCAUGCCUAACACAUGCAAGUCGAACGAGACCUUCGGGUCUAGUGGCGCACGGGUGCGUAACACGUGGGAAUUUGCCUCGGGGUAUGGAAUAACUCAGGGAAACUUGAGCUAAUACCAUAUAAUGUCUUCGGACCAAAGAUUUAUCGCCCUGAGAUAAGCCCGCGUAGGAUUAGCUAGUUGGUGAGGUAAAGGCUCACCAAGGCGACGAUCCUUAGCUGGUCUGAGAGGAUGAUCAGCCACACUGGGACUGAGACACGGCCCAGACUCCUACGGGAGGCAGCAGUGGGGAAUAUUGGACAAUGGGCGAAAGCCUGAUCCAGCAAUGCCGCGUGAGUGAUGAAGGCCUUCGGGUUGUAAAGCUCUUUUACUCGGGACGAUAAUGACGGUACCGAGAGAAUAAGCCCCGGCUAACUCCGUG